GCUUCUGUAGCCUAGUUGUUAAAGGCAGCACUCUAGUAUGUGUCUCAGCAUAGCUGAGGUUGUGAGUUGGACUCUCACCAGACACA
rnacentral:tRNA from 1 species